AAAUGAUUGGGCGNAAAGCGUCUGUAGGUGGCUUUUUAAGUCCGCCGUCAAAUCCCAGGGCUCAACCCUGGACAGGCGGUGGAAAACNACCCAAGCUGGAGUACGGUAGGGGCAGAGGGAAUUUCCGGUGGAGCGGUGAAAUGCGUAGAGAUCGGAAAGAACACCAACGGCGAAAGCACCUGCUGGGCCGACACUGACACUGAGAGACGAAAGGCUAGGGGAGCGCCACCCCGGGCAUUAGAUACCCCCAGUUAGUCCUAGCCGUAAACGAUGGAUACUAGGCGCUGUGCGUAUCGACCCGUGCAGUGCUGUAGCUCNACGCGUUAAGUAUCCCGUCCUGGGGAGUACGUUCGCCCACGCAAUGANACUCAAAGGAAUUG
rnacentral:rRNA from 1 species